AUUGAACGCUGGCGGCAUGCCUUACACAUGCAAGUCGAACGGCAGCACGGGAGCAAUCCUGGUGGCGAGUGGCGAACGGGUGAGUAAAGUAUCGGAACGUGCCCAGUCGUGGGGGAUAACGUAGCGAAAGUUACGCUAAUACCGCAUACGAUCUAUGGAUGAAAGCGGGGGAUCGCAAGACCUCGCGCGAUUGGAGCGGCCGAUAUCAGAUUAGGUAGUUGGUGGGGUAAAGGCUCACCAAGCCGACGAUCUGUAGCUGGUCUGAGAGGACGGCCAGCCACACUGGGACUGAGACACGGCCCAGACUCCGACGGGAGGCAGCAGUGGGGAAUUUUGGACAAUGGGCGAAAGCCUGAUCCAGCCAUGCCGCGUGCAGGAUGAAGGCCUUCGGGUUGUAAACUGCUUUUGUACGGAACGAAAAGGUUUGGCCUAAUAAGCUGAGCUCAUGACGGUACCGUAAGAAUAAGCACCGGCUAACUACGUGCCAGCAGCCGCAGUAA
rnacentral:rRNA from 1 species